CCUACGGGAGGCAGCAGUGAGGAAUAUUGGUCAAUGGACGCGAGUCUGAACCAGCCAAGCCGCGUGAAGGAUGAAGGCUCUAUGAUUUGUAAACUUCUUUUAUAUGGGAAUAAAGUGAGGAACGUGUUCCUUUUUGUAUGUACCAUAUGAAUAAGCAUCGGCUAACUCCGUGCCAGCAGCCGCGGUAAUACGGAGGAUGCAAGCGUUAUCCGGAUUUAUUGGGUUUAAAGGGUGCGUAGGUGGUUCAUUAAGUCAGCGGUGAAAGCUUGUGGCUCAACCAUGGAAUUGCCGUUGAUACUGGUUGGCUUGAGUAUAGUUGCGGUAGGCGGAAUGUGGGGUGUAGCGGUGAAAUGCAUAGAUAUCACGCAGAACUCCGAUUGCGAAGGCAGCUUACUAAACUAUAACUGACACUGAGGCACGAAAGCGUGGGGAUCAAACAGGAUUAGAUACCCGGGUAGUC
rnacentral:rRNA from 1 species